AUGUGUUACAUUGCAGGGCAGCACAGGGUUCCAAUCGCCAGGUUAACCAUAUAGCCCUCCCACAGACCAAGACACAGACGAAAGCACAGGGUUUCGGUCACCACAGGAACCGUAUAGCCCUCCCACAGACCAAGAUAUGGAUUUUCAGUGGACUAUUCAAGAAGCUGCUGAACCUGUGCAGCCUAGGACAAGUUCCCAGUCCCGAUUGGUAAGACUUGCGGCAUCAGACCACAUAAGCUGUCAUGGUAUUAACUUAAUUAUGGCCUGAGGUUUUGGGGUAAAACUGAAAUCUCUAUUUCUAUACCCUGUUCUAGUCGUCAUAUACAGAUUAUAAUUUCAGCCUUGUUUCACCAAACCAAGCAAUUAGCAUGAAACUAUAGACAGUUAUCUCUAACUUGUUGUUAUUGUUGCGAAUUCGA